GACGCCGCGUGCAGGAUGAAGGCCUUCGGGUCGUAAACUGCUGUCAUGAGGGAGCAACGACUCCAAUAUUAAUACUGUUGGGGAGUGAUAGUACCUCAAGAGGAAGCCACGGCUAACUCUGUGCCAGCAGCCGCGGUAAUACAGAGGCGGCGAGCGUUGUUCGGAUUUACUGGGCGUAAAGGGUGCGUAGGCGGUUCUGUGUGUCGGAUGUGAAAUCUCACGGCUUAACCGUGGAAUGGCAUUCGAAACUACAGGGCUGGAGUACAGGAGAGGAGAGCGGAAUUCUCGGUGUAGCGGUGAAAUGCGUAGAUAUCGAGAGGAACACCGGUGGCGAAGGCGGCUCUCUGGACUGAUACUGACGCUGAGGCACGAAAGCUGGGGGAGCAAACAGGAUUAGAUACCCUGGUAGUCCCAGCCCUAAACGGUGUGCACUUGGUGUGGGGAGGGUUGACCCUUUCCGCGCCGGAGCUAACGCGUUAAGUGCACCGCCUGGGGAGUACGGUCGCAAGAUUAAAACUCAAAGGAAUUGACGGGGGCCCGCACAAGCGGUGGAGCAUGUGGCUCAAUUCGAUGCAACGCGAAGACCUU
rnacentral:rRNA from 1 species